rnacentral:rRNA from 1 species
AUUGAACGCUGGCGGCAGGCCUAACACAUGCAAGUCGAACGAGUGGCGGACGGGUGAGUAAUGUGUGGGAAACUGCCUGAUGGAGGGGGAUAACUACUGGAAAAGGUAGCUAAUACCGCAUACCAUCAGAUGUACCCAGAAGGGAUUGGCGUGUGGGUGGGGUAACGGCUCACCAAGGGGACGACCCCUAGCUGGUCUGAGAGGAUGACCAGCCACACUGGAACGGAGCCACGGUCCAGACUCCUAGGGGAGGAGGCAGUGGGGAAUUUUGCACAAUGGGCGCAAGCCUGCUGCAGCCAUGCCGCGUGUAUGAAGAAGGCCUUCGGGUUGUAAAGUACUUUCAGCGGGGAGGCGUUACCCGCAGAAGAAGCACCGGCUAACUCCGUGCCAGCAGCCGCGGUAAUAC